rnacentral:rRNA from 1 species
AUUGAACGCUGGCGGCAUGCUUUACACAUGCAAGUCGAACGGUAACAGGUUAAGCUGACGAGUGGCGAACGGGUGAGUAAUGCAUCGGAACGUGCCCGAUCGUGGGGGAUAACGCAGCGAAAGCUGCGCUAAUACCGCAUACGAUCUGAGGAUGAAAGCGGGGGACCGUAAGGCCUCGCGCGAUCGGAGCGGCCGAUGUCAGAUUAGGUAGUUGGUGGGGUAAAGGCCCACCAAGCCGACGAUCUGUAGCUGGUCUGAGAGGACGACCAGCCACACUGGGACUGAGACACGGCCCAGACUCCUACGGGAGGCAGCAGUGGGGAAUUUUGGACAAUGGGCGAAAGCCUGAUCCAGCAAUGCCGCGUGCAGGAAGAAGGCCUUCGGGUUGUAAACUGCUUUUGUACGGAGCGAAAAGGUCCUUUCUAAUACAAGGGGCUCAUGACGGUACCGUAAGAAUAAGCACCGGCUAACUACGAGCCAGCAGCCGCGGUAA